rnacentral:rRNA from 1 species
GGAGCGAUCUUCUUCGGAAGAGAGCGGCGGACGGGUGAGUAACGCGUGGGUAACCUGCCUCAUACACAUGGAUAACAUACCGAAAGGUAUGCUAAUACAAGAUGAUAUAAGAGAUUCGCAUGGAUUUCUUAUCAAAGCUCCGGCGGUAUGAGAUGGACCCGCGUCUGAUUAGCUAGUUGGUAAGGUAACGGCUUACCAAGGCGACGAUCAGUAGCCGACCUGAGAGGGUGAUCGGCCACAUUGGAACUGAGACACGGUCCAAACUCCUACGGGAGGCAGCAGUGGGGAAUAUUGCACAAUGGGCGAAAGCCUGAUGCAGCAACGCCGCGUGAGCGAUGAAGGCCUUCGGGUCGUAAAGCUCUGUCCUCAAGGAAGAUAAUGACGGUACUUGAGGAGGAAGCCCCGGCUAACUACGUGCCAGCAGCCGCGGUAAUACGUAGGGGGCUAGCGUUAUCCGGAUUUACUGGGCGUAAAGGGUGCGUAGGUGGUUUCUUAAGUCAGGAGUGAAAGGCUACGGCUCAACCGUAGUAAGCUCUUGAAACUGGGAAACUUGAGUGCAGGAGAGGAAAGUGGAUUUCCUAGUGUAGCG